rnacentral:rRNA from 1 species
UACGGGGGGGGCAAGCGUUGUUCGGAAUUACUGGGCGUAAAGGGUUUGUAGGUGGCUUGUUAAGUCAGACGUGAAAUCCCUCAGCUUAACCGGGGAACUGCGUCUGAUACUGGAUGGCUUGAGGUUGGGAGAGGGAUGCGGAAUUCCAGGUGUAGCGGUGAAAUGCGUAGAUAUCUGGAGGAACACCGGUGGCGAAGGCGGCAUCCUGGACCAAUUCUGACGCUGAGGAGCGAAAGCCAGGGGAGCAAACGGG